rnacentral:rRNA from 1 species
CCUACGGGAUGCUGCAGUGGGGAAUAUUGGACAAUGGGCGAAAGCCUGAUCCAGCCAUGCCGCGUGUGUGAAGAAGGCCUUCGGGUUGUAAAGCACUUUCAGUGGGGAAGAAAGCCUUGGGGCUAAUACCCUCGAGGAAGGACAUCACCCACAGAAGAAGCACCGGCUAACUCCGUGCCAGCAGCCGCGGUAAUACGGAGGGUGCGAGCGUUAAUCGGAAUUACUGGGCGUAAAGCGCGCGUAGGCGGUCUGAUAAGCCGGUUGUGAAAGCCCCGGGCGCAACCUGGGAACGGCAUCCGGAACUGUCAGGCUAGAGUGCAGGAGAGGAAGGUAGAAUUCCCGGUGUAGCGGAGAAAUGCGUAGAGAUCGGGAGGAAUACCAGUGGCGAAGGCGGCCUUCUGGACUGACACUGACGCUGAGGUGCGAAAGCGUGGGUAGCAAACAGGAUUAGAUACCCGGGUAGUC